ensembl:misc_RNA Metazoa_SRP Metazoan signal recognition particle RNA
GCCGGGCGUGGUGGCUCACACCUGUAAUCCUAGCACUUUGGGAGGCUGAGGUGGGUGGAUCACCUGAGGUCAGGAGUUCAAGAUCAGCCUGGCCAAUAUGGUGAAACCCCAUCUCUG